rnacentral:rRNA from 1 species
UACGUAGGCAGCAAGCGUUGUUCGGAAUUACUGGGCGUAAAGAGUGUGUAGGCGGUGCUCCAAGUCUGGUGUGAAAUCUCCCGGCUCAACUGGGAGGGUGCGCUAGAAACUGGAAUGCUAGAGGAUGGGAGAGGUAAGCGGAAUUCCUGGUGUAGCGGUGAAAUGCGUAGAUAUCUGGAGGAAUACCGGUGGCGAAGGCGGCAUCCUGGACCGACAUUGACGCUGAACGGCGAAAGCUAGGGGAGCAAACGGG